rnacentral:rRNA from 1 species
GACGAACGCUGGCGGCGUGCUUAACACAUGCAAGUCGAACGAAGAGCGAUGGAAGCUUGCUUCUAUCAAUCUUAGUGGCGAACGGGUGAGUAACGCGUAAUCAACCUGCCCUUCAGAGGGGGACAACAGUUGGAAACGACUGCUAAUACCGCAUACGAUCCAAUCUCGGCAUCGAGACUGGAUGAGAGGUGGCCUCUAUUUAUAAGCUAUCACUGAAGGAGGGGAUUGCGUCUGAUUAGCUAGUUGGAGGGGUAACGGCCCACCAAGGCGAUGAUCAGUAGCCGGUUGAGAGGAUGAACGGCCACAUUGGGACUGAGACACGGCCCAGACUCCUACGGGAGGCAGCAGUGGGGAAUCUUCCGCAAUGGACGAAAGUCUGUACGGAGCAACGCCGCGUGAGUGAUGACGGCCUUCGGGUUGUAAAGCUCUGUUAAUCGGGACGAAUGGUUCUUGUGCGAAUAGUGCG